UCUUCGGGCGCCGGCGCGGCCUUCAACAGAACGCCGCCUCCGUUCACGAUUAGGGGACGGGGACCCAAGGGCCGGUUCUGUUCGGAGGCAGCCGUGAGGUAACAGAGGCGCCGGGCCGCCCCGCAGCCUCUCUGCAGGUCGCGUUUGCUUUUCUCGCUCCCUCCGUUCUAAGGACAGGCAGCACCUGACUGUUAUUUGACUUCAACGAAAAAAAAAAAUACAAAUCAUUUUAUGUUCUACAACGUACAGACCCGUCAUACCUAUUUGUGAGCCGGAUCCCACACCGC